rnacentral:misc_RNA from 1 species
GAAAUGCGAUAAGUAAUGUGAAUUGCAGAAUUCAGUCAAUCAUCGAAUCUUUGAACGCACCUUGCGCUCCUUGGUAUUCCUUGGAGCAUGCCUGUUUGAGUAUCAUGAAAUCUUCAAAGUAAAUCUUUUGUUAACUCAAUUGGUUUCUACUUUGGUAUUGGAGGUCUUUGCAGCUUCACACCUGCUCCUCUUUGUUCAUUAGCUGGAUCUCAGUGUUAUGCUUGGUUCCACUCGGCGUGAUAAGUUAUCUAUCGCUGAGGACACUGUAAAAGGUGGCCAAGGUAAAUGCAGAUGAACCGCUUCUAAUAGUCCAUUGACUUGGACAAUACUUUUAUGAUCUGAUCUCAAAUCAGGUAGGACUACCCGCUGAACUUAAGC